rnacentral:rRNA from 2 species
GGGUGGUAAUGCCGGAUGCUCCAGUUGAUCGCAUGGUCUUCUGGGAAAGCUUUCGCGGUAUGGGAUGGGGUCGCGUCCUAUCAGCUUGACGGCGGGGUAACGGCCCACCGUGGCUUCGACGGGUAGCCGGCCUGAGAGGGCGACCGGCCACAUUGGGACUGAGAUACGGCCCAGACUCCUACGGGAGGCAGCAGUGGGGAAUAUUGCACAAUGGGCGCAAGCCUGAUGCAGCGACGCCGCGUGAGGGAUGGAGGCCUUCGGGUUGUAAACCUCUUUUAUCGGGGAGCAAGCGAGAGUGAGUUUACCCGUUGAAUAAGCACCGGCUAACUACGUGCCAGCAGCCGCGGUAAUACGUAGGGUGCAAGCGUUAUCCGGAAUUAUUGGGCGUAAAGGGCUCGUAGGCGGUUCGUCGCGUCCGGUGUGAAAGUCCAUCGCUUAACGGUGGAUCCGCGCCGGGUACGGGCGGGCUUGAGUGCGGUAGGGGAGACUGGAAUUCCCGGUGUAACGGUGGAAUGUGUAGAUAUCGGGAAGAACACCA